rnacentral:rRNA from 1 species
UAAAAACGUUAGGUCAAGGUGUAAACCUAUGAAAUGGGAAGAAAUGGGCUAACAUUCUCUACACCAAGAGAAUCAAGCACGAAAGUUAUUAUGAAACCAAUAACCAAAGGAGGAUUUAGCAGUAAACUAAGAAUAGAGUGCUUAGUUGAAUUAGGCCAUGAAGCAC